rnacentral:rRNA from 1 species
UACGGGGGGGGGCAAGCGUUGUUCGGAAUUACUGGGCGUAAAGGGCUCGUAGGCGGCCAACUAAGUCAGACGUGAAAUCCCUCGGCUUAACCGGGGAACUGCGUCUGAUACUGGAUGGCUUGAGUUCGGGAGAGGGAUGCGGAAUUCCAGGUGUAGCGGUGAAAUGCGUAGAUAUCUGGAGGAACAUCGGUGGCGAAGGCGGCAUCCUGGACCGACACUGACGCUGAGGAGCGAAAGCCAGGGGAGCAAACGGG